CUAGUCCAGGCUGACGUGGCACUCACUCUGUAAAUCCUCCUACCUCUGCCUCCCUCCUGAGUGUUGGGCUCAAAGACGACCACCACCAUGCCCAGCUUGUUUUCUUGGGUUAAGAUCUCCUAUCUCUGGAUCCCUAGUGCUGGAGCUACAGGAAAGACUACCAGCCACUGAAUUUGGAAGACUCUUCUUCAGUUUCUCCCAUAAAGCUUUUAAUUAUUCCAACACAUUACACUUACUUGUUUGUGGAUCUGUUGUCUCCAGAGAUACCUUGAAAGCAGGAACUUCCAGCAGAUGCACCAAUGAAUACUGUCAUGGGACUGAAUUAGGAGUUGGUUGAUGUUUUCAACAUGAACUUAAAAGUCAAAAUUAAUAAACCUUCCUUAGUUCAGGCGCUGGACGUGCUGGAGCCCUGGGAGCCGACCGUGUUCCAUUCGAUGCUGGUUUCCAUCGUGGGCAUGGCGCUGUACACUGGCUACGUCUUCAUGCCCCAACACAUCAUGGCAAUACUACACUACUUUGAAAUUGUACAGUGACGAAGAUGUGGCCAGGAUCAGAGGUUCCCGGGGAAGACCCACCCGAUGAAGUUGGAGUGAGACGUCAUCAGAAAACUACUGGCUGUCACAACCACCCUUACUCCUACAAAGACUAGGCUCCAUGAGGGGAGCAGGAGAACCAUUCUGACUCAUGUAUCACAUUCUUUAUUUUUAAUUUUACAAGAGGCUCUUCUACAGUAGUUUUUGUCUAUUUUAACCUUGUAGUCAUUUGUACUUUGGUAUCAGUAUUUUCUUAACCUUUGUGACUGUUUCAAUAAAACCCUGUGAAAGCGUUUCUUAAUGCCACUUUGAGUAUAUCUUAAUUGCCUUCUAUUUUUAAGACGCCAGGUCAUCUAUUAUAUGGCAUAUACGGCUGCCUAGACAUAUUUCUACUCUUGACCAAAGUUUUGUAAGAAACAAUACAAGAUUUGGGGAGGGGGCAGGAAGACAUUUUAUUGAGAACUAUGUACACAAGACUUCUCUGUAAGCUUGAACUCAGGAGGACAUUAGCCUCUUAACAGCUUUUGCUCUAAACUAUUAACAUGUUUCUUAGUCUGGAAGAAGUAAAGAUCUUGCUAAAAUUAAUAUAAAGAACAUUUCAUCUUUUAAA